rnacentral:lncRNA from 1 species
GAUUCAGCAGAAUCCGGACGGAGCUUCUCAAGGAAACUUAAAAGCACAUUCAAUUUGUGGUUGGUUCCUAUCCCUCUCCCAUUCCAUUGGAUUUAUGGGGAGAAGACAGCAAGCAAGAAUGGAUGCUUCACAGCUGGCAAUGGUCAACCUAUCACACAGUGGAGAUAUUUCUUGCUGAUAAAUGAUGCUGUGGAAGUAGCCAAAGCAGAAUUCUUUCAGGUAAUUCAGGUAAUAUGUAUUGUUCCUUUGUAUUGAAUGGGAGAAAUAGAAAAUAACCUAUUCCAGAUUUCCAGUAUGAGAUGGACCACCCU